rnacentral:rRNA from 1 species
UACGGGGGGAGCAAGCGUUGUUCGGAUUUACUGGGCGUAAAGGGCGCGUAGGCGGCCAGCGCAAGUCAGUUGUGAAAUCUCCGGGCUUAACUCGGAACGGUCAACUGAUACUGCGCGGCUAGAGUGCAGAAGGGGCAACUGGAAUUCUCGGUGUAGCGGUGAAAUGCGUAGAUAUCGAGAGGAACACCUGCGGCGAAGGCGGGUUGCUGGGCUGACACUGACGCUGAGGCGCGAAGGCUAGGGGAGCAAACGGG